ensembl:snoRNA
AUGCGAUGAUGAGUGAAGUAUAGUCUGACCUGGUAUUGCCAUUGCUGCAGAGUUGUUGGCUUUGACCAGGGUAUGAUCCUUUAAUCUUCUCUCUGAGCUG